rnacentral:sRNA from 1 species
AUAACAAGAAUAAAAAGCAGCAAAGCUAAUAAAAAUAAGACGAAACGACUCUGACAUAACAAAAACAACACGGCAGAGACGCAGCUAACAGAUUUUUUUGGAGAGGAUGUGUUUUCCAGGGUGUCUUUAACAAUAAGAGCCACCCGCAACCGGGCAGAGAACAAUAAAACUACCCCAAGGUAGCUCCCGAACUGGUUGGUCGCUCAAGCGAGAAAAUAGAUCAGCGCUCAAAAAAAUACGUUUGCUCUUGAUCCCGGAUGGGGAUCGCCAAAAACAGCGGUAAAGGGUAACGGUUGCCAAAAACAACAACAGACCGCCCCUCAAUAAUAAAAAAAGAGCACGCAACGACAAAAAUUAAAGGGGAGCUUCGGCUCCCCUUUGUGCUUUCCGGCCUUCCAGUUUCCCUCCCCUC